rnacentral:rRNA from 1 species
GAUGAACGCUGGCGGCGUGCUUAACACAUGCAAGUCGAACGAUGAAGCCCAGCUUGCUGGGUGGAUUAGCGGCGAACGGGUGAGUAACACGUGAGUAACCUGCCCUUGACUCUGGGAUAAGCCUGGGAAACUGGGUCUAAUACUGGAUAUGACUUCUCAUCGCAUGGUGGGGGGUGGAAAGAUUUAUUGGUCUUGGAUGGACUCGCGGCCUAUCAGCUUGUUGGUGAGGUAAUGGCUCACCAAGGCGACGACGGGUAGCCGGCCUGAGAGGGUGACCGGCCACACUGGGACUGAGACACGGCCCAGACUCCUACGGGAGGCAGCAGUGGGGAAUAUUGCACAAUGGGCGCAAGCCUGAUGCAGCGACGCCGCGUGAGGGAUGACGGCCUUCGGGUUGUAAACCUCUUUCAGUAGGGAAGAAGCGAGAGUGACGGUACCUGCAGAAGAAGCGCCGGCUAACUACGUG